UUAGAUAGGAACACUCAAGGUGCCAUUCCUCAGGGAGGGUGGAGAAUUGGGAAGCCGGUUGAAUUCCGGCGCUGCCCCCGCAACGGUGUUGGAGCAAGGUGCAGCAGAAGCCACUGGACGGGAGGUCUGGGAAGGCGCUGCACUGGUUCGGAAGGCAUGACCCCGAAAGGUUUUCGACUUUUUGGACGCGGUCAUGGCCCGACAAGAACACUCCUCAGCCCGGAAACCAGCCUGGAGAAACGAUCGUGA
rnacentral:ncRNA from 2 species